AAGGAUUAUGAUUAUGAUUGUUAUUCAAUUCUGGAUUUUAUUCGAUAAAAUUUGCAUUUGCUUUAUUAAACUUGUAUGAAUAUGUGUUUGCAUACUCUGUUUUAAAUACUACUUUAUUCUUACUGAAUUUGUAAAGUUUACCCCAAUUCACAUCCCCAGUGCAGAUUAGUUCAGGUUAGGAGUAUGUUCAAGAUCAAAGGAAGACUCUGAGGAAUCUUUUAUCUAUUCUAGAUCUUUAUUGUAAAGUAGAUUUAGAUGUAUUAUUGUAAUAUAGUUUUGAAAGAUUUUAUGAGGCUCAUGGAUUGUGACUCCAUACAAGGGAUAGAUUGUUGAUUUAUAAAUAUUAGCAUAAUGUUGCACCAUAUUUAUCAGGUUUAUGUGUGGCAAUGCUCAUUUUUUAGCAAGAGAAUGC
rnacentral:lncRNA from 1 species